rnacentral:rRNA from 2 species
AAUCCAUAGGUUAAUGAGGCGAACCGGGGGAACUGAAACAUCUAAGUACCCCGAGGAAAAGAAAUCAACCGAGAUUCCCCCAGUAGCGGCGAGCGAACGGGGAGGAGCCCAGAGCCUGAAUCAGCAUGUGUGUUAGUGGAAGCGUCUGGAAAGGCGCGCGAUACAGGGUGACAGCCCCGUACACAAAAGCGCAUGUGCUGUGAGCUCGAUGAGUAGGGCGGGACACGUGGUAUCCUGUCUGAAUAUGGGGGGACCAUCCUCCAAGGCUAAAUACUCCUGACUGACCGAUAGUGAACCAGUACCGUGAGGGAAAGGCGAAAAGAACCCCGGCGAGGGGAGUGAAAAAGAACCUGAAACCGUGUACGUACAAGCAGUGGGAGCACCCUUUGGGUGUGACUGCGUACCUUUUGUAUAAUGGGUCAGCGACUUAUAUUCUGUAGCAAGGUUAACCGAAUAGGGGAGCCGGAGGGAAACCGAGUCUUAACCGGGCGUUAAGUUGCAGGGUAUAGACCCGAAACCCGGUGAUCUAGCCAUGGGCAGGUUGAAGGUUGGGUAACACUAACUGGAGGACCGAACCGACUAAUGUUGAAAAAUUAGCGGAUGACCUGUGGCUGGGGGUGAAAGGCCAAUCAAACCGGGAGAUAGCUGGUUCUCCCCGAAAGCUAUUUAGGUAGCGCCUCGUGAAUUCAUCUCCGGGGGUAGAGCACUGUUUCGGCUAGGGGGCCAUCCCGGCUUACCAACCCGAUGCAAACUGCGAAUACCGGAGAAUGUUAUCACGGGAGACACACGGCGGGUGCUAACGUCCGUCGUGAAGAGGGAAACAACCCAGACCGCCAGCUAAGGUCCCAAAGUCAUGGUUAAGUGGGAAACGAUGUGGGAAGGCCCAGACAGCCAGGAUGUUGGCUUAGAAGCAGCCAUCAUUUAAAGAAAGCGUAAUAGCUCACUGGUCGAGUCGGCCUGCGCGGAAGAUGUAACGGGGCUAAACCAUGCACCGAAGCUGCGGCAGCGACACUGUGUGUUGUU